rnacentral:rRNA from 1 species
UACGAAGGGUGCUAGCGUUGUUCGGAAUUACUGGGCGUAAAGCGCGCGUAGGCGGCUUUUCAAGUCAGAGGUGAAAUCCCCAGGCUCAACCUGGGAAUUGCCUUUGAAACUGUAAAGCUAGAGUGUCGGAGGGGAUAGCGGAAUUCCUAAUGUAGAGGUGAAAUUCGUAGAUAUUAGGAGGAACACCGGUGGCGAAGGCGGCUAUCUGGACGACAACUGACGCUGAGGCGCGAAAGCACGGGGAUCAAACAGG